rnacentral:rRNA from 1 species
UACGUAGGGUGCGAGCGUUAAUCGGAAUUACUGGGCGUAAAGCGUGCGCAGGCGGUUGGUUAAGUCUGAUGUGAAAGCCCCGGGCUCAACCUGGGAAUGGCAAUGGAAACUGGCGGGCUGGAGUAUGGCAGAGGGGGGUGGAAUUCCGCGUGUAGCAGUGAAAUGCGUAGAGAUGCGGAGGAACACCGAUGGCGAAGGCAGCCCCCUGGGCCAAUACUGACGCUCAGGCACGAAAGCGUGGGGAGCAAACAGG